UUUAGAUUGCAAGUAUAAAACAA
rnacentral:snRNA from 1 species